UACGUAGGUGACAAGCGUUAUCCGGAAUACUGGGCGUAAAGCGCACGCAGGCGGCUGCGUAAGUCUGACGUGAAAUCUCUCGGCUUAACCGGGAGCGGUCGUUGGAAACUAUGCGGCUUGAGGCGAUGAGAGGGGUGUGGAAUUCCCGGUGUAGCAGUGAAAUGCGUAGAUAUCGUGAGGAACACCGGUGGCGAAAGCGGCUCACUGGAUCUUUCUGACGCUGAGGCACGAAAGCUAGGGUAGCGAACGGG
rnacentral:rRNA from 1 species